GAUGAACGCUGGCGGCGUGCCUAAUACAUGCAAGUCGAGCGAACAGACGAGGAGCUUGCUCCUCUGACGUUAGCGGCGGACGGGUGAGUAACACGUGGAUAACCUACCUAUAAGACUGGGAUAACUUCGGGAAACCGGAGCUAAUACCGGAUAAUAUAUUGAACCGCAUGGUUCAAUAGUGAAAGACGGUUUUGCUGUCACUUAUAGAUGGAUCCGCGCCGCAUUAGCUAGUUGGUAAGGUAACGGCUUACCAAGGCAACGAUGCGUAGCCGACCUGAGAGGGUGAUCGGCCACACUGGAACUGAGACACGGCCCAGACUCCUACGGGAGGCAGCAGUAGGGAAUCUUCCGCAAUGGGCGAAAGCCUGACGGAGCAACGCCGCGUGAGUGAUGAAGGUCUUCGGAUCGUAAAACUCUGUUAUUAGGGAAGAACAAAUGUGUAAGUAACUAUGCACGUCUUGACGGUACCUAAUCAAAAAGCCACGGCUAACUACG
rnacentral:rRNA from 1 species